AGCAAAUCUCAAAGUCAAUUCCUCAAUUGGUUUUGCUUUGGACUUGGAGGUCUUGCAGAUUUCACAGUCUGCUCCUCUUAAAUGCAUUAGCUGGAUCUCAGUAAUUAUGCUCGGUUCCACUCGGCGUGAUAAGUAUCACUCGCUGAGGACACUGUUAAAAAGGUGGCCAGGAAAAUACUGAUUGAACCGCUUCUAACGGUCUAUUAAGUUAGACAAUUACCCUUAA
rnacentral:misc_RNA from 1 species